GAUGAACGCUGGCGGCGUGCCUAAUACAUGCAAGUCGAGCGAACGGACGAGAAGCUUGCUUCUCUGAUGUUAGCGGCGGACGGGUGAGUAACACGUGGAUAACCUACCUAUAAGACUGGGAUAACUUCGGGAAACCGGAGCUAAUACCGGAUAAUAUUUUGAACCGCAUGGUUCAAAAGUGAAAGACGGUCUUGCUGUCACUUAUAGAUGGAUCCGCGCUGCAUUAGCUAGUUGGUAAGGUAACGGCUUACCAAGGCAACGAUGCAUAGCCGACCUGAGAGGGUGAUCGGCCACACUGGAACUGAGACACGGUCCAGACUCCUACGGGAGGCAGCAGUAGGGAAUCUUCCGCAAUGGGCGAAAGCCUGACGGAGCCACGCCGCGUGAGUGAUGAAGGUCUUCGGAUCGUAAAACUCUGUUAUUAGGGAAGAACAUAUGUGUAAGUAACUGUGCACAUCUUGACGGUACCUAAGCAGAAAGCCACGGCUAACUACGUG
rnacentral:rRNA from 1 species